AAAGGUUGACCUCGGUAUCAGGUAGGAAUA
rnacentral:rRNA from 1 species